UUGUCUCAAAGAUUAAGCCAUGCAUGUCUCAGUACGAGCCACAUUAAGGUGAAACCGCGAAAGGCUCAUUAAAUCAGUUAUGGUUCCUUAGAUCGUACCCACAUUUACUUGGAUAACUGUGGUAAUUCUAGAGCUAAUACAUGCAGAUAGAGCUCCGACCGGAGACGGAAGGAGUGCUUUUAUUAGAACAAAACCAAUCGGCGGCGGGCGCGUUCGCGUGUCCGUUCGCCGCUCUACCUGGUGAAUCUGAAUAACUUUCAGCUGAUCGCACGGUCUCGCACCGGCGACGCAUCUUUCAAAUGUCUGCCUUAUCAACUGUCGAUGGUAGGUUCUGCGCCUACCAUGGUCGUAACGGGUAACGGGGAAUCAGGGUUCGAUUCCGGAGAGGGAGCCUGAGAAACGGCUACCACAUCCAAGGAAGGCAGCAGGCGCGCAAAUUACCCACUCCCGGCACGGGGAGGUAGUGACGAAAAAUAACGAUACGGGACUCAUCCGAGGCCCCGUAAUCGGAAUGAGUACACUUUAAAUCCUUUAACGAGGACCCAUUGGAGGGCAAGUCUGGUGCCAGCAGCCGCGGUAAUUCCAGCUCCAAUA
rnacentral:rRNA from 1 species